UCAAAACAUUGGUACUCGCUAGGGCCAAUGAUAUGCCAUGCUGAAUCUGUCAAGAGAAAUCCAGGCCCAGUUCGCUGGUGCCGACAGCCACGACGCUCAUGGGCGCGGCUCUUCUCCAUAGGGGUGCUGUCGUGGUCCCUCCUCCGCUCACUCUACGGUACUCUCCAGGGCUAUGACAUUCAGCGAGUCCUCUACCUCUCGGAAUGCCUCAUACUUCACAGUGGAUGGCUGAUAUGUGUGAAGGAAAGUAUGCUACGUGAAGUCGGAGAUAUUAUAUCGUAGGGUGCGAUAAAAUUUGACAAAGAUGACAUGCAGCAAGCUCUCUCUCGCAGAUGUCUUGGUGAUUGCUAUGGGUUUGGGUGCGACGUCGAGGAGUUAAAGGCUGAGGUCUGUCAUGGAAAAUCGGAUCUAUUUUGUCACUCUAGUGAUAAGUUUGAUAACGAUGACUCAUGUCAAAUUUCGUCAUUUGUAAGUUGUAGGUAUGUGAUGGUGGGUCACCUGAGUGACCGUCCCAAUCAUUUUCUACUGUUGUUAGAGUUAUUUUUCUUCUAAUAAAUUAUAUGGUUGUAAGAUUUUCA